rnacentral:lncRNA from 1 species
GUUCAGUCUGGAGACAAGUCUAGAAGAGCUAGUAUCUAUAAGAACUCAUGGAGGCUCCCCACCUCUGGUAGAUUAUUUCUAGAAACCUCUUGGAGACACAAAUAUGCCAGCUUUUGACACUUGAAAGUUAAAAUUGUCUUCCAUAACCACAUUGACACAGACUAAUAUAAAAUUGGAACUAGGCAGCAGCUGUUGCAGUGACUUCCUCAAAUUAAAUAAUUAGAAGCACUAAGUAUGCUAUCAAAAAAAAGGAUAGCACUAUGUAUAAGAGCUGGAGUAACAGAGAAUAUUUAGAGAUUGCGAGGGUUUGGCAUGUUUGGAGGACAUUUAACUACUCUAUGGUGUUCUAUCUAUUUUAAGAUUUAAAGUGAUUUCUUGUGCUCCCUAUAGAAAACUAAUAGUAUGUUUUAUUAAAAGGCUACUAACAAACAAUGGGCUAAGUCAAUAUUCAUAACUUGAACACUCACCCUCCUAUUCAAUCCACUGUACUAAGAAACAAUCAAAAGUUGUUUAACAGAGCACAACAUCAGAAAAAUUAUAUACAUAGCUGAUACGAAGAACUCAACCGAUUGCCAAUACCAGGG